AUUCAUUCAUUCAUUCAUCCAAGAAAAAAGAAGUGAGCCAUGAUAAUAACCUCAUUCAUUAAUUACAACAAAAAGAGAGGUUACAAGAGUUAUAAUAUAUGUCCAUGAGCAUAGAGCUCUCAUACAUCCAAUCUACAACAUACAACUAAGUAAGCUAAUACAAAAUGACGAAAUCAGUGAAAAUGGGCAUCGAGCUCCAGAUCA
rnacentral:lncRNA from 1 species